CACGUAGGAGGCAAGCGUUAUUCGGAUUUACUGGGCGUAAAGCGCGUGCAGGCGGUUUGGUAAGUUGGAUGUGAAAGCUCCUGGCUUAACUGGGAGAGGUCGUUCAAAACUGCCAGACUAGAGGAUGAGAGAGGGAGGUGGAAUUCCGAGUGUAGUGGUGGAAUGCGUAGAUAUUCGGAGGAACACCAGUGGCGAAAGCGGCCUCCUGGCUCAUAACUGACGCUCAGACGCGAAAGCUAGGGUAGCAAACGGGAUUAGAGACC
rnacentral:rRNA from 1 species